CCUACGGGAGGCAGCAGUGGGGAAUAUUGCACAAUGGGCGGAAGCCUGAUGCAGCGACGCCGCGUGAGGGAUGAAGGCCUUCGGGUUGUAAACCUCUUUCAGCAGGGACGAAGCGUGAGUGACGGUACCUGCAGAAGAAGCACCGGCUAACUACGUGCCAGCAGCCGCGGUAAUACGUAGGGUGCGAGCGUUGUCCGGAAUUACUGGGCGUAAAGAGUUCGUAGGCGGUUUGUCGCGUCGUUUGUGAAAACCCGGGGCUCAACUUCGGGCUUGCAGGCGAUACGGGCAGACUUGAGUGUUUCAGGGGAGACUGGAAUUCCUGGUGUAGCGGUGAAAUGCGCAGAUAUCAGGAGGAACACCGGUGGCGAAGGCGGGUCUCUGGGAAACAACUGACGCUGAGGAACGAAAGCGUGGGUAGCAAACAGGAUUAGAUACCCUGGUAGUCCACGCCGUAAACGGUGGGCGCUAGGUGUGGGUUCCUUCCACGGGAUCUGUGCCGUAGCUAACGCAUUAAGCGCCCCGCCUGGGGAGUACGGCCGCAAGGCUAAAACUCAAAGGAAAUUUGACGG
rnacentral:rRNA from 1 species